rnacentral:rRNA from 1 species
GACGAACGCUGGCGGCAGGCCUAACACAUGCAAGUCGAGCGGAGCGGCGGACGGGUGAGUAAUGCCUAGGAAUCGGCCUGGUAGUGGGGGAGAACGUCCGGAAACGGGAGCUAAUACUGCAUACUAUCAGAUGAGACUAGGUCGGAUUAGCUAGUUGGUGGGGUAAAGGCUUACCAAGGCUACGAUCCGUAACCGGUCUGAGAGGAUGAUCAGUCACACUGGCACUGAGACACGGUCCAGACUCCUACGGGAGGCAGCAGUGGGGAAUAUUGGACAAUGGGCGAAAGCCUGAUCCAGCCAUGCCGCGUGUUUGAAGAAGGUCUUCGGAUUGUAAAGCACUUUAAGUUGGGAGGCGUUACCAACAGAAUAAGCACCGGCUAACUUCGUGCCAGCAGCCGCGGUAAUUC